GAUGAACGCUGACAGAAUGCUUAACACAUGCAAGUCGAUGGGGAAGUGGUGCUUGCACCAUGGUAACCAUGGCGGACGGGUGAGUAACGCGUAAGGAACUUGCCUGCGGGACUGGGAUAACAGCAGGAAACUGUUGAUAAUACCGGAUAAGGUCAUUAAGCUGCAUAGCUUAGUGAUGAAAGGAGACGCCUGCGGAGAGCCUUGCGUCCUAUUAGCUAGUUGGAGGGGUAACGGCCCACCAAGGCGAAGAUAGGUAGCCGGCCUGAGAGGGUGGACGGCCACAAGGGGACUGAGAUACGGCCCUUACUCCUACGGGAGGCAGCAGUGGGGAAUAUUGGACAAUGGGGGCAACCCUGAUCCAGCAAUUCUGUGUGCACGAAGACGGUUUUCGGAUUGUAAAGUGCUUUCAGCAGGGAAGAAGGAAGUGACGGUACCUGCAGAAGAAGCGACGGCUAAAUACGUGCCAGCAGCCGCGGUAAUACGUAUGUCGCGAGCGUUAUCCGGAAUUAUUGGGCAUAAAGGGCAUCUAGGCGGCCUUCCAAGUCAGGGGUGAAAACCUGCGGCUCAACCGCAGGCCUGCCUUUGAAACUGAUAGGCUGGAGUACCGGAGAGGUGGACGGAACUGCACGAGUAGAGGUGAAAUUCGUAGAUAUGUGCAGGAAUGCCGAUGAUGAAGAUAGUUCACUGGACGGUAACUGACGCUGAAGUGCGAAAGCCGGGGGAGCGAACAGG
rnacentral:rRNA from 1 species